UACGUAGGGGGCAAGCGUUGUCCGGAAUUAUUGGGCGUAAAGCGCGCGCAGGCGGCCUUGUAAGUCUGUUGUUUAAACUCGGAGCUCAACUCCGAGUCGCAAUGGAAACUGCAAAGCUUGAGUGCAGAAGAGGAAAGUGGAAUUCCACGUGUAGCGGUGAAAUGCGUAGAGAUGUGGAGGAACACCAGUGGCGAAGGCGACUUUCUGGGCUGUAACUGACGCUGAGGCGCGAAAGCGUGGGGAGCAAACAGG
rnacentral:rRNA from 1 species